AGCGCUUAUGCAAAUAAGCUACGAAAACAAAUCAAGGCGAAAAUAAAUCAUGGAUUCGCGUUUACAAUAACAACAUCACGCUUCAUAUCUGAGCAUCGCGCUCAUCACUAUAGCUCAUGGAUUCGUGUUCUUGGAUUUAUUUCGACAUCAUUCAUGGAAGUUCGUAAAACCGAGGCGAGACUCAGAUCGAAACGAGAAAUGACUCACCGAAUUUCCAAGAACAGGUUAGCUUAUGGAGAUCGAAACAGGUAUCUCUGCGAAACCCUUUUGGUGUUCAGAAUUUGGUCUUCCCUAUUUGAUGCUUGGAUCCGGAGAAGGCUAUAGCACAACGUUUCUGAAUCAUCACAGCAAGAGAUAUACAACUUUAAAAGUAAUGUGCUUUGAAAAAAGGUGUUUUUGUUAUGGAAAUCCUAGGGUGGAGUUCUAGUGUGGAUGAAGUUCUUAGAUCCGCUUCUGGUUCGGUUGAGGAUGUGAAACUGUUUUGCUGUGAUCAAACUCAGGUUAACCAUUUGCCUUGGAAGUUAUGUUAGAGGCUGCUAUGGAGUUUUCGGUUUUGUAUGGAGGUUAACCAACCAAUUAGUAAGGGCAGAUUCAGGUUGUGGCUUUGAAUCGUGCUGUUGGAGGUUAGGUGGAUAUCAUUUGGGUUGAAAUUCGUUGGACAGUUGGAAGUUCGGUUGGAAUUUGUUAUGGUUCUAUUCUGAAUUCAGUUGAAAUUUGGAAAUUCGGUUAGAUGUUGGUUUUUACUAAAGUUCUAUUAGUGAAGUGAUUUAGAAAAUGCUGUUAGAUAGUGAAUUAUUCUUUUGUGCAGUUAGUAAAAAUGUUGUUAUGAAUAUUGUUAAUUCUGUUAGAUGUUGAAUGUUGUUAGUUCAAUUGAUUAUAAUGCUUUUAAUCGAAACUGAUGGAAAUAUGUUAUAUUAGCUAAUGUGAAGUGAAAAAUCAGAAUUGAAAUGAACAUUGUAUUUCUUACCAAUUCCUGUUAUGGAACGAAAGGCGUCGCCGUCAUAGCUUAUUGGAGAACUGUUUUGGAGUUGUUAUAAGUUUAGGAUGGGAUUACUUGAUGUCUUGUUAUUUGUUGGCUGCUGCAGCUUGGAUUAAUGUGAAUAUGCCUGGGACUUGGAUUAAUGUGAAUAUGCCUGGGACUGAUACAGGUUAUUGACCGUUGAUGUUUGUGCAGGAUCCUUUGGUUUGCAACUUGCAGGUGUGAUGCAUAAUUGGUUAAUUACUGCAGAAUUUUGGACAUAUUUGCUUCAGGAAUGAAUAGAAAGUCUGAAGGUUAUUGGUUAGCUUGGGAAUUUCGGCUUGGAUGCGGCUACGAAGCGCAUUGGAUGGCGGGGCUGUUUUGGAAUUCUUAUGGAGUGCUAUGGCCUUGAUGAUGUUGAUUCGCCACGGUUAAAAAAAUCAUAUGUAAUGGAUUGAGAUAUAUAGAAUGUAUUGAAAUGGUUGGGUAGUGACUAUCGUAAUUUAUGGAAAUGUGGUAAUGGUUGUAUAAUGUUAUGGUUUUGUGGUUUAUGUGCUUUGAGCGCAAAUGUAUUUUGGAAUUGGAAUGAAAUUGGUAAAUGCAAUGGUUAUCUAGUG